AACGAACGCUGGCGGCGUGCCUAACACAUGCAAGUCGAGCGAUGAAGCUCCUUCGGGAGUGGAUUAGCGGCGGACGGGUGAGUAACACGUGGGCAACCUGCCUUAUAGAGAGGAAUAGCCAUCCGAAAGGAUGAUUAAUACCUCAUAAUAUUGUAGCUUCGCAUGAAGCAACAAUCAAAGGAGCAAUCCACUAUAAGAUGGGCCCGCGGCGCAUUAGCUAGUUGGUGAGGUAACGGCUCACCAAGGCGACGAUGCGUAGCCGACCUGAGAGGGUGAUCGGCCACAUUGGGACUGAGACACGGCCCAGACUCCUACGGGAGGCAGCAGUGGGGAAUAUUGCACAAUGGGGGAAACCCUGAUGCAGCAACGCCGCGUGAGUGAUGACGGCCUUCGGGUUGUAAAGCUCUGUCUUCAGGGACGAUAAUGACGGUACCUGAGGAGGAAGCCACGGCUAACUACGUGCCAGCAGCCGCCGUAAUAC
rnacentral:rRNA from 1 species